GACGAACGCUGUCGGCGUGCUUAACACAUGCAAGUCGAACGGAAAGGCCCUGCUUUUGUGGGGUGCUCGAGUGGCGAACGGGUGAGUAACACGUGAGUAACCUGCCCUUGACUUUGGGAUAACUUCAGGAAACUGGGGCUAAUACCGGAUAGGAGCUCCUGCUGCAUGGUGGGGGUUGGAAAGUUUCGGCGGUUGGGGAUGGACUCGCGGCUUAUCAGCUUGUUGGUGGGGUAGUGGCUUACCAAGGCUUUGACGGGUAGCCGGCCUGAGAGGGUGACCGGCCACAUUGGGACUGAGAUACGGCCCAGACUCCUACGGGAGGCAGCAGUGGGGAAUAUUGCACAAUGGGCGGAAGCCUGAUGCAGCAACGCCGCGUGCGGGAUGACGGCCUUCGGGUUGUAAACCGCUUUCGCCUGUGACGAAGCGUGAGUGACGGUAAUGGGUAAAGAAGCACCGGCUAACUACGUGCCAGCAGCCGCGGUGAUACGUAGGGUGCGAGCGUUGUCCGGAUUUAUUGGGCGUAAAGGGCUCGUAGGUGGUUGAUCGCGUCGGAAGUGUAAUCUUGGGGCUUAACCCUGAGCGUGCUUUCGAUACGGGUUGACUUGAGGAAGGUAGGGGAGAAUGGAAUUCCUGGUGGAGCGGUGGAAUGCGCAGAUAUCAGGAGGAACACCAGUGGCGAAGGCGGUUCUCUGGGCCUUUCCUGACGCUGAGGAGCGAAAGCGUGGGGAGCGAACAGGCUUAGAUACCCUGGUAGACCACGCUGUAAACGGUGGGUACUAGGUGUGGGGUCCAUUCCACGGGUUCCGUGCCGUAGCUAACGCUUUAAGUACCCCGCCUGGGGAGUACGGCCGCAAGGCUAAAACUCAAAGGAAUUGACGGGGCCCCGCACAAGCGGCGGAGCAUGCGGAUUAAUUCGAUGCAACGCGUAGAACCUUACCUGGGUUUGACAUGGAUCGGGAGUGCUCAGAGAUGGGUGUGCCUCUUUUGGGGUCGGUUCACAGGUGGUGCAUGCCUGUCGUCAGCUCGUGUCGUGAGAUGUUGGGUUAAGUCCCGCAACGAGCGCAACCCUUGUUCACUGUUGCCAGCACGUUAUGGUGGGGACUCAGUGGAGACCGCCGGGGUCAACUCGGAGGGAGGUGGGGAUGACGUCAAGUCCUCAUGCCCCUUAUGUCCAGGGCUUCACGCAUGCUACAAUGGCUGGUACAGAGAGUGGCGAGCCUGUGAGGGUGAGCGAAUCUCGGAAAGCCGGUCUCAGUUCGGAUUGGGGUCUGCAACUCGACCUCAUGAAGUCGGAGUCGCUAGUAAUCGCAGAUCAGCAACGCUGCGGUGAAUACGUUCCCGGG
rnacentral:rRNA from 1 species